rnacentral:rRNA from 1 species
AAGUCGUAACAAGGUUUCCGUAGGUGAACCUGCGGAAGGAUCAUUACUAAAAAACUAUUGAGGUUUUUUUAUAUCCCUUUGUUUACUUACCCUGUUGCUUCCACCGGAGGAACAACUUCCUCUGGUGGCAAGAUUCUAUAAAGAAACCUUUUGUGAAUAAAUGUCUGAUAAAACUCUGAAAAUAGAAAUAAAACUUUCAACAACGGAUCUCUAGGCUCUUGCAUCGAUGAAGAACGCAGUGAAAUGCGAUAAGUAAUGUGAAUUGCAGAAUCUCGUGAAUCAUUGAAUCUUUGAACGCACAUUGCGCCCUAUGGUAUUCCGUAGGGCAUGCCUGUCUGAGCGUCAGCUCCCCCACACUCAAGUCUCUUAAUUGAAGCUUGGAUGACUUUAAAGAAGUAGCUGAAAUACAAUAGGCUACUCUUUAGAAAUUCAUAGGCAGUAUGGCACCUGAAUUAGGCGUAAUAAGAAUAUAAAAGCGUCAAUCUUGAGGAAGGUUGUACUUGCCCCAACCCACCCAUUUUCUUUUGGGUGACCUCAGAUCAGGUAGGGAUACCCGCUGAACUUAA